rnacentral:rRNA from 1 species
GACGAACGCUGGCGGCGUGCUUAACACAUGCAAGUCGAACGGAAAGGCCCUUCGGGGUACUCGAGUGGCGAACGGGUGAGUAACACGUGGGUGAUCUGCCCUGCACUUUGGGAUAAGCCUGGGAAACUGGGUCUAAUACCGAAUAUGAUCACUGGCUUCAUGGUUGGUGGUGGAAAGCUUUUGCGGUGUGGGAUGGGCCCGCGGCCUAUCAGCUUGUUGGUGGGGUAAUGGCCUACCAAGGCGACGACGGGUAGCCGGCCUGAGAGGGUGACCGGCCACACUGGGACUGAGAUACGGCCCAGACUCCUACGGGAGGCAGCAGUGGGGAAUAUUGCACAAUGGGCGCAAGCCUGAUGCAGCGACGCCGCGUGAGGGAUGACGGCCUUCGGGUUGUAAACCUCUUUCAGCAGGGACGAAGCGCAAGUGACGGUACCUGCAGAAGAAGGACCGGCCAACUACGUGCCAGCAGCCGCCGUAAUAC